UACGUAGGUGACAAGCGUUGUCCGGAUUUACUGGGCGUAAAGAGCGCGCAGGCGGUCAGAUAAGUCGAAUGUGAAAGCCCCCGGCUCAACUGGGGAGGGUCAUUCGAUACUGUUCGACUCGAAGGCAGGAGAGGGAAGUGGAAUUCCCGGUGUAGUGGUGAAAUGCGUAGAUAUCGGGAGGAACACCGGUGGCGAAGGCGGUUCUCUGGGCCUGUGCUGACGCUGAGGAGCGAAAGCGUGGGGAGCGAACAGG
rnacentral:rRNA from 1 species